CAGCCGCCGCGGGAAUACCAGCACCUCGAGUGGUCAGGAGGUUUAUUGGGCCUAAAGCAUCCGUAGCCGGUUGCAUAAGUUUUCGGUUAAAUCUAUGCGCUUAACGUAUAGGCCGCCGAAAAUACUGUGCAGCUAGGGAGUGGGAGAGGUACACGGUACUCGAUAGGAAGGGGUAAAAUCCUUUGAUCUAUUGAUGACCACCUGUGGCGAAGGCGGUGUACCAGAACACGUUCGACGGUGAGGGAUGAAAGCUGGGGGAGCAAACCGGAUUAGAUACCCCUGUAGUCCCUGUCUCUUAUAC
rnacentral:rRNA from 1 species